GUUCUAAACAAUAUUGAGGUAGGUGAACUGUUGAAACAGAUUUAAUGAAACUUGAAAGUCGUUUGUGUGAAAUGAGAGUCCUACUGAGUAAUUUAUGAUACAAGAAGCGACUUUUUAUAAAGAAAAGUUUGUUUAACUAUGACAGAAACUUAAAGAUGACCCGUAUUGUGAGGCUUUAAAAUGUUGCUUGAAGAUGAUAAGACUCUUGCUGAGCAUCACUCUUUAACCUUGGAUAAAUGUAGUUCUACAUGCACAAGCUAAGGAGAUAUACAGAAAACUUAAAACAGCUUACUUGCUUGCUGUGAAUGGACAGUCUGAGUAUUACAGUCUUUCUGAGUGUACAGGCAUUUCUUCAAUCAAGAUUCUCCUCAUUUGACAGUGAACUUUAUCAAAUUAUGUUUUGGAUAGAUUCAGAAAACUAGAGUGACACUAUCAGAGUAAUUUUUUUAAUUUGCUUGCAGAGCAUGUUAAUGAGACACUAAAAAUGAACAAUUUUGAUAAAACUAAGAAAAUGUCAGUGUCAUGAUAUAAAAAACUGUUUAGUUUGGAUAUUAUUAAUUAAUUUAUUUUUGUGAAUGAAUAUUUUAUUCUUAUUUAAUUUUUGUUAUAAUAAGAGCUAAAAGCAAACAUUUGUAGGAAGUUGUGUUUAUAAGUCAUUGAUGUUGAGACUAUCGAACGUCAUGUACAAUACAAUGACUUUGUGAAUAUAGAGAUUUCUAGAAAGUGGACAGAUAAUUAAAUGAUAAACAUAUAAGUAGUAUGAGACAAGCAAAAACAGCAGACAGAUAGUAGCAGAAGAGAGUAAAGUUACGAGUAAGGAAAAGUUUGGCGUAAAGUUAACUACCGUAGAAGUGAUAGGCUUAACAAUUAAUAUAUGCUUAAUGUUUAAUAUCUUAGAGUAAGACUUACAGUAGCAAGAAGAUAAGAAGAAGAAUUUAUUCCAUUAAACCAUUAUUCUAAAGUAAUUGAAUCAGUUUGAGUGCACUUUGACAAAAGGAAUGGAGGGUAUUUAGAAGAAAGACCAAAUGAUUACGGUAACUUGUGCCAUAAUUGCAAGUGAAUCACACACAGAAUACUAGUGCGAUAGUAAUGGAGAAGAUAGUUCGGCUUAUAAACUGAAAUUCUUAAGCAAUUAAAUAGGCCUAGUGUACUUUUGACAAGAAGAAGAGAACUAUAUAUAUAGUGUUUAUGAUAUGCCUAUAAUCUCUAUAGCGUGAAGAAUUCGUUGUAUGUACAUUUCACUUGAUCCAAAUAUAUAUUUAUAUUAUUUUGAAAACGAAUGAAAUGCGUGCUGUUCAUUUAUCACUGAAUUUAUUGCCAACAAGUCACAGACUCCUACUGUAGAAGAAUCCUAAGCCCAACAACAGCACAGUAUAUAUUUAUACUAAUAAGAAGUAUAAGGAAAAGCCUUUUAGUUUGACAAUUGGCAAAAAAGAAAUAUUUUUUUAAAUUCUGCCUGUCAAAAUGGAAAGAAUUCAAAAGAAUGGUUAAGUACAACAUGAAGAAUGGAGUCAAAUACUAAGGAUUUCUGGAAUCGUUUGUUACUGUACAGAAAGAAGGAAUUUAAGAAUGUUUGUAUUCUGGUAGAAAUAGUGCUCUGCAUAGAGCCCAGUAAUAGUAUCAUUGAGGCAGGAUUUAGUCACUUUAUGUGUAUGCUCACCUGCCAAAGGCUUAGUUUAAAACAUGCAACAGUGGAGAACCUUGUAUUGGUUAUAACAAAUGAUUUUAUAUGAACACAUGUGGAAAAGAAACAAAUAUCAGAAGCAACCUUGGAGGAGUUUAUGGCAAAAAGGAGGAAAAGGAAACUUGAUAAAAAUCCUCCUACCAUGAAUGUGCAGCCAAGAAGUGGAAGUCACAAAGAGACAAUGAAAUUGAUUCUAUUGCUAAUGAAGAUGUAAGUUAUUCUAACAUGUCUAUUAGAUCAAGUGAUGAGACUGAAACUGAUGAGAUUUUUUUUCAAGAACUUAUUGCAUAGGAAUCAAUUGAUGUUGAACACUGCUGAUAGAGGUGAUUCUCAUGCAUGCAAUGUGUGUGUAAGGAUAAUAAUUGAAUAUGCUCCAGUAGCUAACAGUUAAACAAGACAAAAGAUCUUGCUACAUACAAAUGACUAUACAAAGUAGAUUUAUUUCAAAUUAACAUAAUUUUUUUAUGAGAUGUGUGUUUAUGCAAGUUUACGACUUAAUUUUUUGAAUAAAUAGUGAAACUGGUGUUUUAUUUCCUAGCAGAAAAUUUAAAUGCCAUUUCACUCUUGUCUGUAAGUUACAAAUAAGUAUUUACCAUAUGAUUCUAGUCAAAAUGUUAUGUGUCAGACUUUAAUGAGAUUAUAGCAUUAUAUGUUUCCAAUUUUACUGGAUAGAAUUUAUUUUUUAUUGUUAAUUUUUGUAUUCAUCAUAUUAAUGUAUCAGGCUUUAUAUUUGCCUUUUACCCUUACUUUGUCCUUGAAAUAUGACCACAGGUUCACUUAAUAAAAAAAAACAACAGUACAAUUCAUUCAUUAUAAAUUAACUUUUAUUGUCCAGUUUUGUAAACAAAGAAUAGUGAUACAGCAUCAACCUGCUAACAGCCCACAUGUACUGUUUGGUGAGGACUGUUUUUAGCCCUCAUGUACUUUUCAAAUUCCAGGACUUGAAAAUGCACAUUCAUACUUUUCUUUUUAUGGGUUGCAAAUAUAGUGUUGCAAGCUCUUUUGCACACUAGUGCCUUGCUCCGGACUUGAACUGGUAAUCAUUAGUUCACCCUUGUGUUCUGAGGCCAGUGCUCUACUGUACCAAAUGAGCUACUCUAAGUCAAGUCCCAAGCAGAUAACCCACAUUCUACCAUUAUAGGUAGCAUCAAUUCAAUCUUAAAACUUGAAAAUAUUAUGGAAGUAGAUAAGUUAAAGCUAAUCAAGCAAGUAAACUUAGAAACAUUAGUGGCCCUAUUUCUAAGACAAUACCACACACACACACCUGCAUACAGUUGACAAUCUUCCUCGCUUAUCUGCCAAAGAUAUUUGUAUGCCAUUAGCCUUGAGGCAACUUCCACCUAAUUUCAUGUUAUCUAAUGUGAACUGCAUUACUGCAUGAUGAUGUAAUAGUGAAUCAAAACCCUCCACCAAUAGAAGGGCAUUGCAUCUCCGUGCAUAAUAACUCCCCUAUGCACUUGAGAAAUUCAAUCCUCUCUUUGGUAUUGUAUUGUACAGAUGUGAUUAAAUUUCUCUUCCAUCCUCUGUUUAUUCAGAUUUGCAUCAUUAAAAGAACCUUGAUUUUCAUUUUCUUCAGCUUCUAUUUCAAAAGCUGUAAUUUUUUUAUCAUCAAUUCCGAAAUGACAGUGAUUUAUAAUUAGUCCUGAGUAUGAGAUGUUGUUCACAAUUAGACUUCCUUUCUGCUGUGGUUUCAGAGACUCGUUAACUGUCAGGAUCAAUGCAGCCAUUGUACAACGUGUUGUGGAUUACCACAUGCUUAAUGGGCUUCCUUACUCCCAUCUCAUCAGUCGUCUUUCUAUUUCGUUAGUCAGGAAUGAUCUAUUAGACUAUGACCUUCAUCUGAUUUGCUUUGGAUAGUACUUUCCCAUUUGUGAAAUGCCUUUAACCUUUCAAUCUCUUUCUGAAUUUCAUUCGCAGGUAUGUUCCUUUCCACCUAUUUUGCCUGUGUUCUUUAUUCUUUUUUGUUUUCUCCCAUUCUCACCCAUGAUUCUUGGGUUUAUCUUGUCUUUUUUCCCUUGCUUGUUAUUAUACUGUUUCCUUUAUCUAAUAACUCCUUUCAUACACCCAAAGACCUCAUUCCCUUAUGUUUGUGAACCCUUUUGUCUUGAUUUGUAGAUCUCUUCUCUUCUUUUUUCCAAUUCUCUGUCAUUAGUAACUAUUUGGCCAGCUUGGAGAUUGAUCACUUUACCUUCUAUUUUACUUUCUUGUUCUCCAUUUUUGCAUUUUUUUCUCUUUACCUUUCUGUAUUCCCUCUCCUAUCUCCUUUUAUCUGAGGCACUUCUUAAUGCUUCUGUAGAUAUUAAUUCCCUUCUCUGUUUGGCCUCUUCCACUUCAAUUCUAUCCUCCAUACUUUGUUUCCUUGCUGUUUGGACUAUUUUCCUCUCUCCUAUACCCCUUUCUUCUCCUUUUAUACUUCUUUUUUUUUUUGUCUGGCUCCCUUUCUUUGCCCAGGUGUCUUCUAUGAUGUUCUUUCUCCCUGGUGACUUGGACUGCUGUCAUAAAAAUUUUGUUUUCAGUAUCUUCCUAGGUUUUGUUUUCCUCUUUUUUUGCUUGCCCUUUACUCCUAUUCCUUGUCUAGAUCCUUCUCACCUUCCCAUUCCGAAUUCCAGGCUUUCCUCAUUUUUCUUGUCUUCCCUCGACCUGUAAUCUAGUUCAUCAUUCUUCUUAUCAGUGACAAUCAUACAUGUACAGUUCUUUGGGUACCUAUCUCUUCUGCUGCUGUUGGUCACAGUUUCUGCUGAGUCAUUUCUCCACUUGGUCUCUUUCCCCAUUCAUCUUUUCUUCCAUUUUCUUCCAAUUUUCUUUUCACCUCCCUUCGACCCCAUCUUUGGUCUUUUUUCACCCAUCUGUGUUUGGCAGUGGUCAAUGUGUCAGACACCUUCCUUCUUGGCCUGUCCUCCCAUUGAUUUCUAUUCUUUCUCAUUCCUUUUCAUGUUUUCUCGUUCCUUGCUCUUCCCUUCAAGUCAACAUUGGCCCCUCUUAUAUUCUUUGGCAUUGUAUGGGCCUUCACUUGUCAUGUUCAUAGCCCAGGGCUGGUGUUCUUUACCUGGACUAUUUUCUUCUGUUAUUCUAUUCAUGAAUGUUUCCUCUUUUUUUACCUCCCUUCCUUUCCUAUGGCUACUCUGCUGGGAGAAGGGAGACUUGUCCUGGGAACUACAUCUUCUCUCACACCCAUUCAAUGUUUGGUACUUUUGAUUUUUUAUUCUCUUGUCUCAACCAAGUUCUUGGAGUUCAUUUUCUCAUUUAUGAGUAUCUCCAAACUUCCUGCAUUCGCUUACUUCCUUUCACACAAGAUCUCUGCUUUCUUCAACACUUCCCUCUCUGUUGAGACACAUUUCUGUUGAAGGCAGGACUUCUGAUGUUUCAAUGCUAGUCAUGUGUUUCUUUCACUUCAAUGGGUUGACCCUUUUUCUAUUCUUCUACUGGUCACUAUAUAAUGGUAUCUAUUGUAGUUGACAGCAUGAGAAAUAAUUCAGACUGAGUUGCAAUGGAAAAUGCAUUGUUUUCAUGUGAUACCAAUAAAGUGAGAUUUUUUGACUAAUAAGUAAAAGUAUGAUAAAUCUAGGUAAAACUGGAUUCACUUUUAAGUAAUGAGACAAGUCUGUGUAAUAACUGGAUACUUAGUGAAGAUAUCAAUCAUGAAACAAUGCUAAAUCUCUUACUGAGUUGUAAUGCUAAGUGAAAUAAUGAGACAAAGUGAAAUGCAAAAUGAACAAUCUUUAAUACAAACACUAUACAGGAACACAGUGUGCUAUUACCUAAAUAUGAUUGUCACUUUUAUUGGAUUAUCUUCACUGCUUCUUGAAGAUCCUGUACCUGACUGUCUAAAUCUGACAUUUUUUACAUUUACCCAGAGCAACACAUUGCUGGUCAUUCUCUUUACAACACAUGUGAAGCUUUAAACUUUAGGUAUCACCUGAACAACUGUUGAAGGACAUAUAACAAUAUUCCUCUCAAUGAACAGAACAUUUAUUACCCACUAGAGAAAUAAAAAGGAAUAAGGGCAGCUAGAUUGAAAUUAACAGAUUUCUUGACCAUGUGUUACGUGAAAUGUGCAUGAUAUAGAAAUGCAUAAUAUUUUCAUAUACUGCUUUCCUGUUUUCCCUAGUACAGACUUGUUCUCAAGCUGAAAAGUAAUUUUUACUUAAACCAGUAAAAUUAAAAUUUGUGGCCUGGUUA